rnacentral:lncRNA from 1 species
CUUAACAAUCAUUCCAUACAACAAAUAUAGUAGACCUAUUGCAUAUGGUAUGAGAAAAACAGACCAAAACACAAAAAUUUAACUAUAACCACUGAACCAUGAAAAUGACGUCAAGGUAAGAUGACACCUGCCAGUUGGACAUGUACACCUUACAGUCCUUCCAUACACCGAAUAUACUAGCCCUAUUGCUUAUAGUAUCUGAGAUAUGGACUUGACCACCAAAACUUAACCUUGUUCACC